AUACGUAUGGGGCGAGCGUUGUCCGGAGUUAUUGGGCGUAAAGGGCGUGUAGGCGGCUCAUCAAGUCUGGUGUGAAAAUGCAGGGCUUAACCCUGCAGAUGCGCUGGAAACUGGUGGGCUUGAGUUCCUGAGGGGAAGCUGGAAUUCCAGGUGUAGGAGUGAAUUCUGUAGAUAUCUGGAAGAACACCGGUGGCGAAGGCGAGCUUCUGUCAGAGGAUUGACGCGGAGGCGCGAAAGCGUGGGGAACAAACAGGAUUAGAUACCCUGGUAGUCCACGCUGUAAACGAUGUGCACUAGGCGUGGGGCACGUCCGUGCUCUGUGCCGAAGCUAACGUGAUAAGUGCACCGCCUGGGGAGUAUGCUCGCAAGGGUGAAACUCAAAUGAAUUGACGGGG
rnacentral:rRNA from 1 species